rnacentral:rRNA from 1 species
UACGAAGGACCCGAGCGUUAUCCGGAUUUAUUGGGUUUAAAGGGUGCGUAGGCGGACUUGUAAGUCAGUGGUGAAAUCCUGCGGCUUAACUGCAGAACUGCCAUUGAAACUGCUUGUCUUGAGUACAUUUGAAGCGGGCGGAAUGUGUCAUGUAGCGGUGAAAUGCUUAGAUAUCGUCAAGAACACCUAUAGCGAAGGCAGCUUACUAGGCUGUAACUGACGCUGAGGCACGAAAGUGUGGGGAUCAAACAGG